rnacentral:lncRNA from 1 species
UUAAAAUAAGUAUACUAAUAGAAAACUUGAAUUAACUUAUUUUUUGUAAGGGACAUACUGUAAAUCCUAAAAACAUCAUUAUUUGAAUGGUAUCUGAUUGUGUGUGUGUGUGUGUGUGUGUGUGUGUGUGUGUGUGUGUGUGUGUGUGUGUGUGUGUGUGUAUGUUUCUGCAGGGGAAGGCAGCAGAGGUGAAAGUGUGUUGGCUACCUUGCUCUUCCUGUGGCAGAGUCUGGGAGGACACCUGGGAGCCGGCCAGCAAAUUCGCCUGAUGACUAAUACUGUUUUACUAUUUGUUUUAUAUAUAUUUCUCAAUAAUUAAAUUCACUAUUGUUACAUUUUAUGAUUUGUCUGUCAAUCAUUGACUGCACUGAAUAAUUAAUGUGUCAUGACUUUGUGCUGUAUUUGAUGGGAAAAGUGAGACGAAAGUUGCAUGUAGUGACAGUCAAGUCACCUUUAUUUACAGCUUAUAGCACUUUUUACAAUACAGAUUGUAUCAAAGCAGCUUCACAGUGAUAACAGGAAAAUAAUACAACAAAGUUUCUUUUUAGAAGAAAAUUACAUCCUCGUCCACCUUAAGGCAGAUUAGCAAGCCAAUCUUAGCAACUAAAAAAAUCUAAAGCCAAGGCAACCAGAACAAGUACCAAAUUGGCAUUAUACUAACUUAUGAUGAAAAUUGUAGUUAGUAUUGAUGGUAAUUUUGGAGCAAAGUAAAUGGGCUCCUAUCCCUGGUGACAGGAUGUAUUACUGAAUCCUUUUUUACCUCUGAUCGCUAGCAUACAACACUGUUUGUUUUUGUUCUCAUGGUUGUCUGUUCAGAUCAAUUAUGAGAGUUCUUAAGACAUUUCAAACAUUCCCAAUGAAGAGAAGAGGCACAUUUAUCAAUUUUCAUCAAUGGUACCUAGGUCAGCAAUGAUUUUUCAGGCUCAGGCCAUUUUUUCAUAUCCUUUGCCUCAUACAAAGACAGAUUGGUGUCAAAUUUCACAAAUAAUCUCAUCCUUCCUCUGUGUCAACAAUCAACAUACAGUAUGUGCAUGACAUAAAGUGAUCAGACUUAAGAGAUCAGAAAGACCGGAGACAUGAGCCUGGGAAACUGUUAAAGCCAGAAACAAUUCCAGCUUGGCCAUCAAUAUAAUGUCUAAUGUUUUCUUGUCAUAAAAC